AAUAAAAACUAAUUAGUUAAUUUUGAGCAAUUUGUAAACAAAGUAUUGAAAAUAAUUUUAGAUUUUGAAUAAUAAGUAUUUAAUAAAGAAAAUUUUAGAUUGGUAAUAGUUAAUAAGUAUUAAAGAAAGGAAAACUUGAAAUAUCGUGAAAAUUUAGUUGUAUAAAAGUGUAAAUACAGUUUAGUGCCUUGUGUUUCAGGGAAUUUAAAUAUUAGGUUUAUAAAAUAAAGAGUCCCGAAAUUUGGUGAGCUAGUUUAUUAUAAAUAGUUACCGUGGCAUAGUUAUUAUUAAUAAUUUACUAGAAGUGAAAUUCUAUACGCCCUAAUCAGUAUCUGUUUUUUUAAUAAAUGGAUUUAAUCUAGUUCCUUCAGAAUAAUGUUGCUAGGAACUAAGAAUAGGAGGAAAAACCUUCUUAUUCUAUAAUGAAUUUACUAUAAGGGAUUUGUGGUUGUUUAUUUAUCUAGGCUUAAAAUCAGUCAAGUUUAAAAAUCGUUAUAGAUUAUUUAAAAGGUUAUUAAUAUUUAAAAUCCCUUUAGUUUAAUUAUUAAAAAAUUCAAUUUAAUAAGUGUUUUGUAGUUAUAAUUAAAUUAUUAGUAUAAAAAGUUGUGUUAAGUUAAUAAUUUACUAAAUUUUUUCUUCAUUUUAUUAACUUUAAAUUUGUAUUAAGGAACUCGGCAAUUACCCUUUCUGCCUGUUUAUCAAAAACAUGUCCAUAUGAGUAUGAUUUAUAUGGUCUGGCCUGCCCACUGAUGAAUAAAUAUUAAAGGGCCGCGGUAUUUUGACCGUGCGAAGGUAGCAUAAUAAUUAGUCUCCUAAUUAGAGGCUUGUAUGAAUGGUCGGACAAGAUGGGGACUGUCUCAAUACAAAAAAUAAAAAUUAAUAUUUAAGUAAAAAAGCUUAAAUGUUAUGGAGGGACGAUAAGACCCUAUAAAGCUUUAUAGUUAGUCUUUUUUAUAUCAAUCAGGAAAAUGUAGUUUAUUAAAAAGAAGUAACUAUUUUACUGGGGCGGUAAAGGUAUAUUUUUGAUUAACUGCUUUUGUUUUGUAAAUCAAUUAUAAUUGAAAUAUGAAUUGAUCCAUUAUUAAUGAUCAUAAGAACAAGUUACUUUAGGGAUAACAGCGUAAUUUUUCUUGAGAGUUCUCAUCGAAAGAAAAGUUUGCGACCUCGAUGUUGAAUUAAGGAAGUCUUGAGGUGUCGUAGUUUUAUGGGCAGAUCUGUUCGAUCCUUACACGAUUUGAGUUCAGACCGGCGUGAGCCAGGUUGGUUUCAAUCUUCCAUUAUUGGGUCGUUUACUUUAGUAUGAAAGGAUUGGGUAAAUCAAAUAUUUUGUUGUUAGUUGAAGUCUAUGAACAA
rnacentral:rRNA from 1 species